GGAGGGGAGGGCGGGAAGAAAGGAGGGCGUGGUCUGUGCAGCUCCUCACUCCUCUCCUCCCGUCUUCUCCUUCU
rfam:TPA: Bos taurus chromosome 29, whole genome shotgun sequence.